CUCCCCUGCUCACGCUCUCUUUCAAAACUAAAUAAACAUUAAAAACAAUUAGAAAAACAAAGAGAAGCUCUAUAAAUAGUAGCUAUUAGAAUCUUUAAGGCAUUUCCACCAGAAGACCUGUGGGCAUGAGCUGGAGGAGGAGGGAAAGCCAAAGGUGAUGAAGCAGAACGAUAAUAGAGUGGUCCCCUCUUAUGGACGGGGAUACGUUCCAAGACCCACAGUGGAUGCCUGAAACCGUAAGUAGUACCCUACAUGUGCUAUGUUUUUUCCUAUGCAUACAUGCCUAUGAGAAAGUUUCACGUAUGAAUUAGGCACAGUAAGAGAUGUACAAUAACUAAUAAUAAGACAGAACUACAGCCAUAUACACAUAAAAGUUAUGUGAAUGUGGUUUCUCUCAGAAUUUCUUACUGUACUGUACUCACUCUUCUUGAGAUGAUGUGGGAUGAUAAAAUGCCCACGUGAUGAGCUGAAGUGAGGUGAAUGACACUGUGAUGGAGCAUGAGGAUAAUGUGAAAAAACAACAGUGGAGAGAAAUCAUUGACCCAAAAUCUGAUGUUCUCAUGGAGGAAUUGGUGGGAAGAAGGCAGGGGCUUUCUGGAUCCUAAGUGAGGUCAGUUUCCCUGACAGAGGCUCCCUCAGUAUCCUCUCCUUCCCUUUUGCAGCCUGGAUUUCAGCCUUAUGUUCACAGGUUGUGCAACAAUCACCAUUAUCUAAUUCCAGAAUAUUUUCAUCAACCCCAAAAGAAACCCCGUCUAUCAGCAGUCGGUCCCCAUUGAUCCGCUAGCUCCUGGCCACUACCAAUCUACUUUUUGUCUUACGGAUUUCGAUUCGGCCCCCACCCUCCGCCCCUACACGCGCAAAAGAAUCAUGUUCGCGUUGGGAGCCGACUCCCACCCCAGGCCGCGCUCGGUUUCGACAUGUGAUCCUCAGCCCGUGGGCCGCCAGUCUGGGCGGCGCAAACCCCGUCCGGGAAGCCCCGGGCAGCGUGGCCGCGGUCGGCGCCGGAGGAACUAAACAGCGACAGCGGCUCCCCCCUGCCCUUCCUCCCAGCUCCUUCUCCCCGCCCACAAGGCACGAGCACACACUACAGCAAACUCCAGGAUUUUUCCCGACCCCGAAGUCAAGGUGGGGAUGGGUGCCCCAAAAGCCGAGGGCAGAGGCAAAGUCUGAAAACUCGAGGGGCUUCCUGCCUGCCCGCUUUACUCCCUCCUUGCUCCCUCGCGUACCUUGCACAAGAAGUCGAUAUCGUAGAAGGCGGACAGAAGUGUGGUCGACAUGUUUCUGGAUCCUGUAAUGGUCGGCGCUGCAGGCAGGGGUCCGGAGGAGCCCUCGGGGCGGCGCGGCCGGGCUCGAGCCACGACGAAUAACGGGUGAGGGGCGGGGGAGGAACCGAAAGUUUGCCGGGGUUCGAGACAAGAGGAAGAGGGAAGCAGCGUGGACUGGCUGAGGGUGCCCGGGAGUGCGGAGUGGGGGAAAGGAGAAGCAAAUAGCGCUCCUCCGCGCCCCGGGUGCCCGGCCCGCCCCCCCCCCCGCGCGGAGCCGACGACAGCUCGCGGACUGCUGGAACUCCGCGGCCCUCGAGCGCGCGCCCUAUAUAGAGCCCGGGAGCGCAGCGGCUAGGCGUCUGGCCGGAGGAGGGACUGAACGCUGACCCCCGGGUCUCCAGGCAGCCGCCCGCCGGCUCGCGGACGUCAAGCGCCUUCGUGGCCUCCCAUUGGCCGCCGCCAAUUUUUUUUCUCCGGGGGAGGGGGCGGGAGGCCGUGGGCGGGGCAGGCUGCCGGGGCGCCCGGGCGUGGAGAGCUCGGCCCUGUUGGGUGCUGCUGGGUGGCGGCGGAAGAUAAGGCUCCUCUUCUCUGGGCUGCCCUGUUGGAAAUCCCUGCACGUUUAAAGUGACCAGAGUUCUGCAGCCCUGGACUUGUCUCCUCGCGCCGGAUCCUGCUAGGCGAAAUUGCGAAGCUUUUAUCUCCCACUCUCGGUUUUAUACUGGGCGCGGGAAUUGCAAAAUGCAAGAAUAUUGCAACCGUCCGUGCGGCCCGGCUGGCUUGCAAAGGGUGCUUGGGCCGGGAGGCGGGGCUCUGGCCUGCGUCCGGUGGGUGGUGGCUCCAUCCCGAUUGCACGUGGAGGCGCGGUGGGGUUGGGCGGGAGCGGCCACGCGGGCGGCUGCCGCGGCAGUCUCGCCCGGAGGAGCCUGGGCCCGUUUCUCCCGCCCCGUCCCCGCCCAGGCUGCAGUAAACAGGGCUUGAGCGCCGGGGCCUGCAGGGCAGGGCUGAGUGUCUGAGGACAAGGCGCUGGCUUUGCUAAUCACAUCACAAGACCUUGAGCUAGGCCAAAGCGCGGAGUGGCGCGGGCGUCCCGGGCGGGGGAGCCGGCUGGGAGGACGGGAGGAAAGGCCAGGAGAGCUGCGCAGGCCUGGAGGCGACUUCCCGCCACCCCGUCCGUCCGCCGGUCAGCUCGGCCUUCCCCAGCCCUCCCAGGGGAUGGGGUGCAGCUGCCGGCUGAGGCUCCCCGGCCGCCGCGGCCGUGGCCGGGCGUGCCCUCCACGUCCCUUUCCUCCCUGGCCGUUGGGGGCCGCGCCCUGCCUUAGCUCGUCGUGAGCCGCAGGCUCGGGCUGAGGCCGGCCAACUGCCCAGGCAGUACAGGGCGUCGAGGACGCUCAAGGUGGGCUUGCCCUCUUUUUUUCCCCCCCUCUCACCAGUCCCACACCCCAAAGCCCUGCUCUGGGUAAUGCCUUUGCCAAGGGGCCCCCUCAAGGGUACGGGGCAGACAGCCCCCCCUAGCGCCCAGUUAGGCAAAGCCGCUGACAGCCCGGUCGGCAGAUGUGGGGUCUAGGCCAGGACACUUAUCACUCGUCUAAACAUAUGCUGCCAAAACCUGGAGCGGGCCCAUGAUCUCGCACACCUGGUAGCUUAGGCUUCAUUUGGGCCUAAGUUGGAAGGCCCAGUUCCCUCUAGGGAAGGAAGCAACCCACGCCCCCUUUCCCAAAUUGAGGUUAUUUCUUGUUUCCUCUUGGUCAUUUCCAUUCGUUAACCUGGAAGUGGGGGAAAAAGCCAUUAGGCCUGUCACUCAUGGAACUGACGCCUCAGAGUUCAGUUUGCAUGCAGUUCCCCCUGCUGUCACUCCCUAAGCACCCACUCAGAGAGCUAGAGUCUGCAGUGGGCUGCAAGCACUUUAGGACCAGAAACCCAGGGCUGGCGUUCAGGGCUGCCCUUUCCAAGUCAUGUGGUCUCAAGCAAAUCACAUAAUCUCUUUGGUACUUGGGUUUCCUUGUAAAACUAAGAUAAUUCCUGCUUUACUCAUCUCUCACCCUUGUCAAGGUGCAAAUGCGUUAUCUGUUAAAGUGUGUAAGAGAUGUACAGGUAUAAAUCCAUAUCAUUUAUUAAAUUGACAAAGCAUAAAAAUAGAGACAGCCGGGUCUCUGGACUGUGGCCAGAUGGGUAGAGGUCCACAGGAUCAUAUGCAGACCUGAGGGCACCAAAUCUUGGACCAUCUAGCUUGGAGCCAAGAGCAAUGACCCCGGAAGAGGGGAUUGCUUCAAUCUGGGUGAUUGCACCACCCAGCCUGCACUGGCCCCCAGGCAGCUGUGGCUGACACAGCCCAGAGCACUCAAGAACCCCAACUGUUCUGUUUUGUUCUUUGUUGAAAUGACCCCAAACAUGGAGUCUGAGGUUUGCCCUGAUAGUAGUAUUCUAAGAUUCCCCUGGGAAUGCAUCAGGCAAGUGUGAAACAGCCAUUUUACUGCUAUUGUAGGUCAGUAUUAAGAUUUCAGAUAUAAAACCAGUAGAAACUUCUGUACCUCCUGUCCUCCCAGGCUGGCCACAGCCAGCCAUCAUCAAAAUCUGGGGUAAUUCCCAGUCCACAGCCAUGAGAACACCCACUUUGCAGGCUUGGUAGAAGGAUCCUAGAGAUAACAUGUACAUAUGCUAUGGUACAUGUUUUGGUAAAGAGCACCUGCUGGUAUAAGGUGCUUUUAUUAUUAUGUAUCUGCUUUUAUUUCAUUUUAAAUGGAGAGAAAAGGAACGCUGGCCGUUUCCAAUGAGUUGGGCUUUACUGGGGCCAGUUUCAUAGUUAUUGAAACAUGGUCAUCACUGCAUUAUGCCAACAAUUUCCUGACUUCUGACCCAGUCAGUCCUUCUCAGAACAAAAAGAAAUGUUAGACUGGCAACUUUCCAUCAAGUGUGGGCUACACAGGAUCCUAAUUAAUUCAGGAUCACAAAAAAACACAUUUUGAGCUGAAUAGUCAAAAAUACCUAGGGAAUUUCCUGCUCUCUUUAGGACAAAACUUUGGAUUCUAAGUUUACUCCUUUCCUUGCCUUUUCCUACAGAGCUAUUUUUCUGUACUUCCAGUAUGGCUGUGUUUUUAGUGUUAGGUGGUUUUUUUUAAAGAGAAACACAUUUGAAAUACGAGCUUUUCUGCAGUAGGAAAUGAUACCAAACUUUCUCUCUUUUAAACUGCCCCUUCAGACCGUCAAACAUCAGUAACGUAGUUCCAAGUGAUUGCUCACCUGAGAAGUAUUUAAAAAUAUUUACAGUACCUAAAAGCUGGUAUCAUUCUGAUAACCAGGAUGAAAAAUGAAUAUGGAUGAGGCUCUGACCAAUCCAAGCUAUGAAUUUCAAGAUAGCUGUCUGUGGAUAACACUCAUUCUGAAAUGAGAAGGAAAAAAUGGCAAGCCAAUGAAGCAAAAAUGUAUGCAAGAGCGACACCUGCUGGGUGUCUGAGGCAGAGGGCUGGGUUGGGCUUGGAAAAGGCAGAAAAACCUUAAGGUUGCUAGAUUCAAACACUGAAAUGGAUAAUUGUGUUUUCUGACAUCUUAAAUGAGAAUCUUUUAUUGCCACCAAGAAAAUGACAGUAAGCAGCGUAGGAAUAAAACAAGUCAUUUAUUCUGGCUUUUCUUUCCCUGGAUUUCCUUCUCACAGCCAAGGGUCUAGGCUUUCACUGGGUGGCAACAUCGAAGUUUCCUAGCAUUGCCAGAAACACUUUUGGUGGGUAGGAGCUCUUUUAAUAAAUCAGACGUCAUGUGCAGGUCGCUGCAGGACUUGAACAUGUAGAUGGUAAAAAAAAACCAUCUCUAUGAAGUAGAUCUAUAAUUUUCCCAGGAUCCAACAUUUGGAACAUACUUCUGCUGUAGCUAAAAUGGAAUAAAAUUUAGAGUUCUGACCCAGUGGGCUGUUUGCCAACUAAUCCAGCUCUUCUAUUCAGUGGGAAAGAGGAGAGAAAGUCACGAGCUAAAACCUAGUUCUGUACAGUCAAUUCACAGAAAAUGUGGGCUGACUAUGCCUGGACGUUAGAGGCUGUGGGGGAAGAAAAAGCGAAUUCAGGUCCGCAGGUGGCCUGCACCUGGGAACAGAGUAAAUAUUCAACGUGGUAGCCACACUUCCUACAGUAGCUGC